UAUGCCUAGCUGUAAAAUAUUUACUUACACUAAAACCGCCAGGGAAUUACAAGCCCAAGCUUAAAACCCAAAGGACUUGACGGUGUCCCAUCCCCCUAGAGGAGCCUGUUCUAUAAUCGAUUCUCCCCGAUUUACCCCACCACUUCUUGAACACCCAGUCUGUAUACCUCCGUCGCAAGCUUACCGUAUGAACGCACCUAGUAGGCAAAAAGAUUUACUAUCAACACGUCAGGUCAAGGUGCAGCCUACGAAGUGGAAAGAAAUGGGCUACAAUCUCUAUAUUAGAAUAAACGGAAGGCUGUAUGAAACACAGCCACUAAGGCGGAUUUAGAAGUAAAAAGAAAAUAGAGAGUUCUUUUUAACUAGGCCCUGGGACGCGUACACACCGCCCGUCACCCUCUUUAAACAAACCAAAAAGUUAAUAACACACUAUAAUUAAAUAGAAGAGGCAAGUCGUAACAUGGUAAGCGUACUGGAAAGUGCACUUGGAGUAAAAUGUAGUUUAACUAAAAUUUCUUGCUUACACCAAGAACAUGUCUGUGUAACUCAGACCAUUUUAAGCCUAACUCACAGCCCUUCUAAUCUUUAUAAAUUUUACUUCAAACAAACUAACUAAAACAUUCUUUCAACUAAGUAAAGGCGAUUAAAAAGUUUAUAGGAGCCCUAACACUAGUACCGCAAGGGAAAAAUGAAAUAACAUGAAAUAAAUUUAAGCACUGUGAAGUA
rnacentral:rRNA from 1 species